UACGAGUGCCUCGAGCGUUAUCCGGAAUCAUUGGGCGUAAAGGGUGUGUAGGUGGUCAUAUUAGUCUUCUGUUAAAUUCUUCGGCUUAACCGGGGGUCUGCGGAGGAAACGGUAUGACUUGAGGAUGCAAGGGGUCUGCGGAACUCAUAGUGUAGCGGUGAAAUGCGUUGAUAUUAUGGGGAACACCAAAAGCGAAGGCAGCAGACUAGGGCGCUCCUGACACUGAAACACGAAAGCGUGGGUAGCGAAUGGG
rnacentral:rRNA from 1 species